rnacentral:rRNA from 1 species
GAUGAACGCUGGCGGCGUGCUUAACACAUGCAAGUCGAGCGAGAAGUUUAGUUAUGAACCUUCGGGUGAUUAACUAAAUGGAAAGCGGCGGACGGGUGAGUAACGCGUGGGUAACCUGCCCUAUACAGGGGGAUAACAUCGAGAAAUCGAUGCUAAUACCGCAUAAGACCACAGUAUCGCACGAUACGGUGGUAAAAACUCCGGUAGUAUAGGAUGGACCCGCGUCUGAUUAGCUAGUAGGUAAGGUAAAGGCUUACCUAGGCGACGAUCAGUAGCCGGCCUGAGAGGGUGGACGGCCACAUUGGGACUGAGACACGGCCCAAACUCCUACGGGAGGCAGCAGUGGGGAAUAUUGCACAAUGGGGGAAACCCUGAUGCAGCGACGCCGCGUGAAGGAAGAAGGCUUUCGGGUCGUAAAC